UCAGGAAGCCGAACGCGUCUGGAUUCCCCACCAUGGCCUGGGCCCCUCUGCUCCUCACGCUGCUCACGUACUGCUCAGGAUCCUUGGCCCAGUUUGUGCUGACUCAGCCGCCCUCAGCAUCCGCGUCUCCUGGGCAAACGGUGACGAUCUCCUGUGCCAGGAGCAGCGGCAACAUUGGUAGCUACUAUGUAUCCUGGUACCAACAGAAGCCUGGCAGUGCCCCAAAGCUAAUUAUAUACGAGUGGAACAAGAGACCCUCUGGAAUCUCCGACCGAUUCUCCGGCUCUACAGACACCUCCGCCAAUACUGCCUCCUUAACCAUCUCUGGGGUCCAAGCCGACGAUGAGGCUGAUUAUUACUGUGAUUCAUAUGACAGCAACAGCAAUCCCACAGUGCUACAGGCCCAUGGGGAACUGAGACCAAAACCUCCCACAGCAACACACGUUCCACUGCUCUGGUCUCACUGCAUCUUCCCCCUGCCUGAGGCCCUGCAGCGAAAUGAACUGUCUCUCCCCCCUCACAGGUGGUACAAUCCCCCAAAAAGGGCAAACUGUGAGGUAGCUUCUCUGUGUCUUGUUUUGGGGGAUGGAGGCCUGGGGAUGCUGCUGCCUUGUGGAGACAGGCUGUAGGGUGUUGUGCUGGCAUGGGACAGACGGCUGGGGAAGGUCUGUGCUCUGUAGGGCUCCUUAUCUCUGCUGGGGCAACGAGCCACAUGUGCUCCCCUCAGUCCCUCCUGUCCGCGGGCACGUAGGGGGCGUGGCCUUUCCACUCCCAACUCCUCACUGGCCGUGUCUCCCAUGAGGCUGUGCAGUGCCGCUAGGCGACCCCAAAGCUGAGCACUCUGGGGGCGCUAGAUCUAGGCAGUGUCUAGCCCCUGCCCAGGUGCAGUGAGGAAGGACGAUUCCUGGGCCCCAUCCCCAUCUCGUGCCUCUGCACUGAACCAGCCAGGGAAUGAC